AUCUAGUAGCUGGUUCCCUCCGAAGUUUCCCUCAGGAUAGCUGGCGCUCUCGCAAACGCACAGACCCACGCAUUUUAUCCGGUAAAGCGAAUGAUUAGAGG
rnacentral:rRNA from 1 species